rnacentral:lncRNA from 1 species
CUGGAUCUUCAGUCUUGGGACUGGUGAGACAUGAUGAACAUGGGAAUGUUAAAAGGAUUAAAGGAUUUUCAGGCCUCAUGCUCUAAUCUUCUAAAACAAUUAAUUAGGGGAACUUAAUGCUCGUUACUCUCGUUUCCUGAAUGAACUUUCUGGCUUCCUCCUUUUUUUUCUGCCUCAAUAUAUUCGAUAUAUCUCUUGGGAUGCAUUCGAUGAAAAAUGAUUAUGAAAUCCUUGAAAGUUGUAAUUUUUAAUUUUUAUUGAUUUUCUUUAUCUAAGUAUAUAUAUCUAAAAUAAUUAUAUUUUUACUUAUUAAUUUGAUUUCCCAAAUUUGUACCGAUCUUUUCGGUUUUUACCCAAUUUUUUCUGAAUUCCGAAAUUUUCAACCUUGCCGAAUUAUUCCCCACUGCUGAACUUGUGAAACUUGUGACUGCGUUAAGGAGAUGGUCUCAGAUAUCUUCAUCGAACUGUCUAAGUAGAAGAUGAAAGCCUUGAUGUGAGAAUUUAAGUUGUAAAAAAGGAUUUGAAGAACCUGAAUUCAGAAAGCCAGUCUCAAAUACUCUUAGGUGGUUAUGGUUAUGAGGUUAAAAAAGAAAUGAUGAUUUUAUUGCUUUUGAAAUAAAGGCCCCUGUACAAAAAAUUAUGUUUGAUUGUAAUUGACCAAUCACUGUAGCAUUUUGAACUCUUGCUUUGGAAGUUUGUUGGUGUCACGACCCC